rnacentral:snRNA from 1 species
GUGCUCUUUUUGGCAGCAGCACAUAUAUAAAACUGGAAUGAUACAGAGACGAUUAGCAUGGCCCCUGCACAAGGAUGACAGACACACAAAUUUAUGAAGCGAUCUAUAUUAAA